rnacentral:rRNA from 1 species
GACGAACGCUGGCGGCGUGCUUAACACAUGCAAGUCGAACGAUGAAGCCAGCUUGCUGGUGGAUUAGUGGCGAACGGGUGAGUAACACGUGGGUGAUCUGCCCCAAACUUUGGGAUAAGCCUGGGAAACUGGGUCUAAUACCGAAUAUGACCGAUACUCGCAUGGGUGUUGGUGGAAAGCUCUGGCGGUUUGGGAUGGGCCCGCGGCCUAUCAGCUUGUUGGUGGGGUAAUGGCCUACCAAGGCGACGACGGGUAGCCGGCCUGAGAGGGCGACCGGCCACACUGGGACUGAGACACGGCCCAGACUCCUAUGGGAGGCAGCAGUGGGGAAUAUUGCACAAUGGGCGCAAGCCUGAUGCAGCGACGCCGCGUGAGGGAUGACGGCCUUCGGGUUGUAAACCUCUUUCACCGGGGACGAAGCGAAAGUGACGGUACCUGGAGAAGAAGCACCGGCCAACUACGUG